rnacentral:rRNA from 1 species
UAGGGAAUCUUCCACAAUGGACGCAAGUCUGAUGGAGCAACGCCGCGUGAGUGAAGAAGGUUUUCGGACCGUAAAGCUCUGUUGUUGGUGAAGAAGGAUAGAGGUAGUAACUGGCCCUUUAUUUGACGGUAAUCAACCAGAAAGUCACGGCUAACUACGUGCCAGCAGCCGCGGUAAUACGUAGGUGGCAAGCGUUGUCCGGAUUUAUUGGGCGUAAAGCGAGCGCAGGCGGAAGAAUAAGUCUGAUGUGAAAGCCCUCGGCUUAACCGAGGAAUUGCAUCGGAAACUGUUUUCUUGAGUGCAGAAGAGGAGAGUAGAACUCCAUGUGUAGCGGUGGAAUGCGUAGAUAUAUGGAAGAAUACCAGUGGCGAAGGCGGCUCUCUGGUCUGCAACUGACGCUGAGGCUCGAAAGCAUGGGUAGCGAACAGGAUUAGAUACCCUGGUAGUCCAUGCCGUAAACGAUGAGUGCUAAGUGUUGGGAGGCUUCCGCCUCUCAGUGCUGCAGCUAACGCAUUAAGCACUCCGCCUGGGGGAGUACGACCGCAAGGUUGAA